rnacentral:lncRNA from 1 species
CUACUCCUCAAAAUCAGAAUGCGGCCCAUCAAAGAGAUCCAUACGUUUCUUCUUCCGCCCGGGAAUUUGAUCAAGCGCGGCAUCUUUCUCCUUGAUACUCUUUUUCAGCUGGGCGAUUAUCACAUCUUUCUUGUGGCUAUCAUAGGCUUCUUGCUCUAGUAGGGCCAUCACAGCCUCAUACUCCUGAUCCUUCUUGCGGUACUUCAUUUCCCAUAUGGACUUCUCACGCCUUUCG